UCCGGUUUGUCACCGGCAGUCUGAAGUGAGUCCCCAACUUAAUGCUGGCAACACUUCACGGGGGUUGCGCUCGUUGCGGGACUUAACCCAACAUCUCACGACACGAGCUGACGACAGCCAUGCAGCAUCUGUGGUACACCCUCGAAGGAGCGCACUUUCAUGCGGUUGCAGGUGCAUGUCAAGCCUAGGUAAGGUUCUGCGCGUUGCGUCGAAUUAAACCACACGCUCCGCUGCUUGUGCGGGCCCCCGUCAGUUCCUUUGAGUUUUAGCCUUGCGGCCGUAGUCCCCAGGCGGUGAACUCAUCGCGUAAGCUGGGGCACCGAAGGGCACAAUCACCCCCCGGCACCGGGUUCACAUCGUUUACGGCGUGGGCUAC
rnacentral:misc_RNA from 1 species